CGCGGCCCCGGAGGAAGCCCCGGGAACUUUGUUUCUCGGCCCCCUACCUCUGGCACCCUCCGCUCUCACUGGGACUCGCCGGCCGCCCCUACAGGGGGAAGGAGAGACUUUUAAGACAACCCCUCCCCUCAGCCCAGCGCCGGGACCGAGUAGCAGGCGGACUGAGCGCCACGCUACACCUCCCCGCCCUUCUCCACCUCCUCGCCCUCCUCCACCUCCU
rnacentral:lncRNA from 1 species